GUGCAGCAGGCGCGAAACCUCCGCAAUGCGGGAAACCGCGACGGGGGGACCCCGAGUGCCGUGGCAACGCCACGGCUUUUCCGGAGUGUAAAAAAGCUCCGGGAAUAAGGGCUGGGCAAGGCCGGUGGCAGCCGCCGCGGUAAUACCGGCGGCCCGAGUGGUGGCCGCUAUUAUCGGGCCUAAAGCGUCCGUAGCCGGGCCCGUAAGUCCCUGGCGAAAUCCCACGGCUCAACCGUGGGGCUUGCUGGGGAUACUGCGGGUCUUGGGACCGGGAGAGGCGGGGGGUACCCCUGGGGUAGGGGUGAAAUCCUAUAAUCCCAGGGGGACCGCCAGUGGCGAAGGCGCCCCGCUGGAACGGGUCCGACGGUGAGGGACGAAGGCCAGGGGAGCAAACCGGAUUAGAUACCCGCGUAGU
rnacentral:rRNA from 1 species